UACUGGUAUUAUACUAUAAGGAAGGCCCACCCCAUCUCUACUGGUAUUAUACUAUAAGGAAGGCUCACCCCAUCUCUACUGGUAUUAUACUAUAAGGAAGGCCCACCCCAUCUCUACUGGUAUUAUACUAUAAAGAAGGCUCACCCCAUCUCUACUGGUAUUAUACUAUAAGGAAGGCCCACCCCAUCUCUACUGGUAUUAUACUAUAAGGAAGGCCCACCCCAUCGCUACUGGUACUAUACUAUAAGGAAGGCCCACCCCAUCUCUACUGGUAUUAUACUAUAAGGAAGGCCCACCCCAUCUCUACUGGUAUUAUACUAUAAGGAAGGCCCACCCCAUCUCUACUGGUAUUAUACUAUAAGGAAGGCUCACCCCAUCUCUACUGGUAUUAUGUAUUAUACUAUAAGGAAGGCCCACCCCAUCUCUACUGGUAUUAUACUAUAAGGAAGGCCCAUCUCUACUGGUAUUAUACUAUAAGGAAGGCCCACCCCAUCUCUACUGGUAUUAUACUAUAAGGAAGGCCCACCCCAUCUCUACUGGUAUUAUGCAUUAUACUAUAAGGAAGGCUCACCCCAUCUCUACUGGUAUUAUGUAUUAUACUAUAAGGAAGGCUCACCCCAUCUCUACUGGUAUUAUACUAUAAGGAAGGCUCACCCCAUCUCUACUGGUAUUAUACUAUAAGGAAGGCUCACCCCAUCUCUACUGGUAUUAUACGAUAAGGAAGGCCCACCCCAUCUCUACUGGUAUUAUACUAUACGGAAGGCCCACCCCAUCUCUACUGGUAUUAUACUAUAAGGAAGGCCCACCCCAUCUCUACUGGUAUUAUACUAUAAGGAAGGCCCACCCCAUCUCUACUGGUAUUAUACUAUAAGGAAGGCCCACCCCAUCUCUACUGGUAUUAUACUAUAAGGAAGGCUCACCCCAUCUCUAUUGGUAUUAUACUAUAAGGAAGGCUCACCCCAUCUCUAUUGGUAUUAUACUAUAAGGAAGGCUCACCCCAUCUCUACUGGUAGUAGACUAUAAGGAAGGCUCACCCCAUCUCUACUGGUAUUAGACUAUAAGGAAGGCUCAUCCAAUCUCUACUGGUAUUAUACUAUAAGGAAGGCUCACCCCAUCUCUACUGGUAUUAUGUAUUAUACUAUAAGGAAGGCCCACCCCAUCUAUACUGGUAUUACACUAUAAGGAAGGCCCACCCCAUCUCUACUGGUAUUAUACGAUAAGGAAGGCCCACCCCAUCUCUACUGGUAUUAUACUAUAAGGAAGGCCCACCCCAUCUCUACUGGUAUUAUACUAUAAGGAAGGCCCACCCCAUCUCUACUGGUAUUAUACUAUAAGGAAGGCCCACCCCAUCUCUACUGGUAUUAUACUAUAAGGAAGGCCCACCCCAUCUCUACUGGUAUUAUACUAUAAGGAAGGCCCACCCCAUCUCUACUGGUAUUAUACUAUAAGGAAGGCUCACCCCAUCUCUAUUGGUAUUAUACUAUAAGGAAGGCUCACCCCAUCUCUACUGGUAGUAGACUAUAAGGAAGGCUCACCCCAUCUCUACUGGUAUUACACUAUAAGGAAGGCUCACCCCAUCUCUACUGGUAUUAUACUAUAAGGAAGGCCCACCCCAUCACUACUGGUAUUAUGUAUUAUACUAUAAGCAAGGCCCACCCCAUCUCUACUGGUAUUAUACUAUAAGGAAGGCCCACCCCAUCUCUACUGGUAUUAUACUAUAAGGAAGGCCCACCCAUCUCUACUGGUAUUAUACUAUAAGGAAGGCCCACCCCAUCUCUACUGGUAUUAUACUAUAAGGAAGGCCCACCCCAUCUC
rnacentral:lncRNA from 1 species